rnacentral:lncRNA from 1 species
UUCUCCCCUACCAUCCUAACCAAUCCUGACUGUCGACUCCUCCCCUUCCUCCCGGACAGCCUAUGUGGCGCUCUUCAGGAACCACCCACCUCCCAGCUGAGAGCACACAACACUGCAGCCACAUGAAAAAAUUGAGGAUGGAUUGCCCCUACCCUACGGCUCAGACCAAUGCUGUGCCCCUCCCUACCAACACAUACUAGAGAUAUCAAAAUCCAGUGGCAUGCAAUGUGUAAUGAAGCUCUAAUCACUCCAUAGCACCUGCUUCAACUACUUUCAUGGUCAUAGAACAAUUGUUCUCAUCAGCCUAUUCCACUGGGAGAAGACUUCCAAUGGCUGAGUUGCCUUGGAUUUUGUGGGCAUGCUUAUGUGACCUCGCUGCUAAUUUUGCAAAAACAAAGAGAGACUCACUUGUUCUCCUGUUUGGUGUGGUAUAGUUUCUGGUUAUCUCCAUUGUGGGACCAAAGAAGUUUCCAGGUAGUGUCUUGAUAACCUAAGGUCCUUACAGAGGAGGAUUCCCCUUCCAAACAGUAACCUCUCUCUC